GCCCCCAUCGUCUAGCGGCCUAGGACAUCGCCCGCUCACGGCGGUAACACCGGUUCAAAUCCGGUUGGGGGUA
rnacentral:tRNA from 1 species